AUGUAUGAAAAAAUAAGGAACGUAGGGAACCAUCUCCAUAAUGUUAAAGUAUUGCGAGAUGGCCAAGGACAGCUGUUUGUGUCAUACAGACAAAGUCACAAUCAACGCGUAGCUGCAGACGAGUAUGGACCUUGUCCUUACUGUUACGGGUAUUACCCGAAGAAAAUCCUGUGGAGGCACACUCAAAAAUGUAAGUUUACAAUGCGGCGGGAUCAAGAAAACGACUCGCUUUAGAGAGCAGCCUGCUAUUACCAAAAUCAAAAGAAGGAAGCACUAUUUUAAGACGAGUAAUCGAGUCCAUGAGAAACGACGAAAUAAGUCGCAAAGUCAAAAGUGAUAAUACAAUCCUUGCAUUCGGUGAAAAACUCUGUACAAAAAGGGGCCAUGAUGAAAAGCAACACAAUUAUAUUAGACAGAAGUUAAGAGAAGUUGGUAGAUUGCUGAAAGACAUGCGAUCUUGUCCAGGCAAUGUUGAAAAGUCUUUGGAGAAUUUCAUGUAUCCAGAUGCUUUCAAAUUUAUUACACAAUCUUGCAAAAACGUUGCAGGCUUCGACGGAAACACCAAUACUUAUGCUACACCAUCAUUAGCCUUAAAGAUUGGCACAACGCUUCAGAAAUGUCUAAAAAUUCUAAUUUUGAAAGGAAUCGAAACAAACAACCAGGAUCUGCAAACAAGGGCUGAGGAGCUUUCCAAACUAUUUGAAAUUAAUUGGACGGAUGACGUGUCUUCCAAUGCCUUAAGAACACUUCAUGAGGCUAAGCAGAACAGUCAGAAAGAACUGUUGCCAUUGGCAAAUGAUGUCAAAGUAAUGUCUGAAUACUUACGACAUGAAGCAGAAACACAUGCAAAUACCUUACAAGAAUCAGCAAGUGAUUGCGAGAAAAGGCAAGCAUGGCAUAAGUUGUCUGAAAUCUGCUUGUGUUUAAUCGAAACGAUCAGACGAUGUGUCAAAAUGACAGUCGAAGAAUAUUCAAAAAACAAAUUGACAAAUGACGAUGGAGAAUUAGAUUGAUGUUUAACAAAACUGGAAAAAAACCUGUGCCGUUAUUUUUACCGUACAGAGAUUAUUGCAAAACGAGGUCGAAUAGCUGCAGUACUGUUUCCAAGACAGGUGAAAGAAAAUAUCGACCUGCUCAUACGCAGCAGAAAUUCUCUAACAAACUGUUUAAAUAGUAAAUAUCUUUUCCCAACAAAAUCUGCAUCAUCGCAUAUUCGUGGGACAGAUGUAUUACGUUCAAUUGCAAUUGACUGUGGAGCUGAACAUCCGAAAAGGCUUCGUUCUACAAUGACUAGGCUUUUUAACUUGUCUGAAAAUGAAAUAGACAUUCUAGCUAAAUUUCUUGGUCACGACAUUCGGGUACAUAGAGAAUUCUACAGAUAACCAGAUGGAACCAUGCAGGUUGCCAAAGUCAGCAAGCUGCUCAUGAUGAUGGAAAAUGGGCAAAUUACCAGAAAUUCUGUCAAUUCGCUAGACGAUAUUGAUGUGGACGACGAAUGUAUUGUAGAUGAACAAUAUUCUUCUGAAUUAUCAGAAAAUGAAAAUACUGAAGACCUUGAAACUCUGCUUCCCAGCACCAGUCAACCAAAAAUAACAGACAAAGAAAAGGGUACUUCAAAUACCAGGAGAACAAAACAAGCAGCCAAAAAGCAACGGAGUGAAGACGAAACCAGGAGCUGUUCACAGACACUUAGAUCGUUUUUUGAUAAUUGGUAAAUUACCAGGGAAAAAAUCAUUACUUGCAUGUAUUGAAAGUGAGAAUGACCUUCACAACAGAAGUUGGAAAAAUGUCAAAGACUUUUGCAUAAAUUUAAUUGAAACAAAAACGCGACGGGGACUUUUAACUUAAAAAAAUAUAACACAUAUAAUGCACGUUUAGGAGAAUACGUUAAAGGAUGAAGUUGCCACAUGUGUUUUGUGUGUUUUCUUGUUCUAUAUACUCUUUUCGAAAACGAUAUAUGUGUGCUUAUUGUAUUUGAAUGUUUUAUUAAUACGGUUCAGUCAAAAACGAUAUUUGUUCAUUAUCAUAUCGCCGAACAAAUUAGGAUUGGUAUAUAGUUCGGCCAAAGAGUGUUUCUUUGUACUUUCUAUUACGAGUUUCUACGAGUUACUCACUAUACAAGUUAUUUUUUACCCCAAACUUGGUGAAUAUGAAUGAAUAUAGCAAUUAUGAUAACAAAUCAAUCUAGAAGGCUAAACGUUCAGAGAAGGCACAAAAAAAUUCAGUCGGAUAAAUGGAAACAAACAUUUUGUUCAAGCAUAACAAACAAACACUUUUAGAUAUGAUAAGAUAAAUGUAAAUAACAUAAAAAAAACUACUGCUAAACUACUGCUACAAUGUGAAGAAUACAAAUGAAUAUUUUGUCAAUUUUACAAAAUUUGUUUUGAAUGACAGGUGUCUGACUUGCAGUUGAGUACUUAAUAGUUAUUUUAAAGUAAAAAUUUACCAAUAUGUAAAUUAUUGCGUAAAUAUCGCACUAGAAUUGAUUAAAUAGUUGUUAAAUAUUACAAUAAUUUCCUACACAGACUUUUGUGCAUUUGUUUUGCGUGUAGAUAUUCACAUUAACUAUCAAUUCACAUAUUUGCUUUGUGUAUAUAAUUGGUAUGUUUAUUUUCAGAAUUGAGUCACACUGUUAUAAUUUCCCUGUUGGUACAUAUUAUUUUUAAGUUGGCACCAACAAGGGUCUAACAAUUGAUUCACAUGUGCUAUCCCCAGUAAGUAUAUAUACUAAAAUGUAAGUGAUGCAAAAUAAUAUUAAACUACGUGUUUGAUAAGUGUUUGCUUUGGUACAUAUUUAAUUAUUAGUGUUUUUAUAAAAUGAUAAUGCUGUCAAAAGCAGCGAUGAUUAUACGUGUAUAACAACAUUAAUUAUAACUUUUAUAUUGUUUUCAACAAAUAAUAUAUGGUUGACACAUCGGCAUAAAUUUUCAGUGCUUAAAAUACACUCUUUCUUUUAUAUUUUAUGCAAAAAUUAGGUACAUAAGUUGGUUUACAUAAAGGUAGUUUGAACAAAAUACGUGAAUUCAAAUCUUGAAAAAAGGUGUUUGGUUUGCAAGGGAAAACUAAGCGAUUGCCAGUGACUAUUUUCCUUAAAAUAUAAUCUGUUAUUUCGACAGGUAGAAUUUAAUGUAAGUUCAUUAUUAACGUUAACCCGUUUUUGGCAUUCUCUACUCAAACAAGUGCAUACAUAAUGUAUUUUUUUAAUACAGCACAUGUGUAAUGGUAU